AACGUAGGACGCAAGCGUUAUCCGGAGUUACUGGGCGUAAAGCGCGGGCAGGCGGUCUUGCCAGUCUGAUGUGAAAUCUCCUCGCUCAACGGGGAGCAGCCAUUGGAAACUACAAGACUGGAGUCUGACAGAGGUAGGCGGAAUUCCGGGUGGAGUGGUGAAAUGCGUAGAGAUCCGGAGGAACACCAGAGGCGAAGGCGGCCUACUGGGUCAGUACGUGACGCUGAGCCGCGAAAGCCAGGG
rnacentral:rRNA from 1 species